AUAUUGUAAGAGUAGGGAAGUGUGUGAGCCAUGCGUCAAGAAAAGCCGCUAUUGUUUUACUUAAGCCCGUACCGUAAACCGACACAGGUGGAUGAGGAGAGAAUCCUAAGGCCGACGGGAGAAGCAUUGUUAAGGAACUCGGCAAAAUGACUCCGUAACUUCGGGAGAAGGAGUGCCAGCGAGAGCUGGCCGCAGAGAAUUGGCCCAAGCAACUGUUUAGCAAAAACACAGGUCUAUGCAAAACCGUAAGGUGAAGUAUAUGGGCUGACGCCUGCCCGGUGCUGGAAGGUUAAGAGGAGAGGUUAGCGGUAACGCGAAGCUUUGAAUUUAAGCCCCAGUAAACGGCGGCCGUAACAAUAACGGUCCUAAGGUAGCGAAAUUCCUUGUCGGGUAAGUUCCGACCCGCACGAAAGGCGUAAUGAUUUGGGCACUGUCUCAACAAUGCACCCGGUGAAAUUGAAAUACCAGUGAAGAUGCUGGUUACCUGCGCCAGGACGGAAAGACCCCAUGGAGCUUUACUCCAGCUUGAUACUGGGAUUCGGUAUUGCAUGUACAGGAUAGGUGGGAGGCUAGGAAGUGAUAACGCCAGUUGUCACGGAGCCGCUGUUGGGAUACCACCCUUGCAGUAUUGGAUUUCUAACCAGCGACCAUGAACUGGUCGGGGGACAAUGUCAGGUGGGGAGUUUGACUGGGGCGGUCGCCUCCGAAAGGGUAUCGGAGGCGCUCAAAGGUUCCCUCAGAAUGGACGGAAACCAUUCGAAGAGUGCAAAGGCAGAAGGGAGCUUGACUGCGACACCGACGGGUGGAGCAGGUACGAAAGUAGGACUUAGUGAUCCGGUGGUAUAAAGUGGGAUUGCCAUCGCUCAACGGAUAAAAGCUACCCUGGGAUAACAGGCUUAUCACUCCCAAGAGUUCACAUCGACGGAGUGGUUUGGCACCUGAUGUCGGCUCAUCGCAUCCUGGGGCUGAAGUAGGUCCCAAGGGUUGGGCUGUUCGCCCAUUAAAGCGGUACGCGAGCUGGGUUCAGAACGUCGUGAGACAGUUCGGUCCCUAUCCGGCGUGGGCGUAGGAUAUUUGAGAGGAGCUGUCCUUAGUACGAGAGGACCGGGAUGGACUGGCCGCUGGUGUAUCUGUUGCAUACCAAAUGCAUGGCAGAGUAGCCAAGCCGGGACGGGAUAAACGCUGAAGGCAUCUAAGCGUGAAGCCCCCCUCAAGAUGAGAUAUCCCUACGUAAGUAGUAAGACCCCUUGAAGACGACAAGGUAGAUAGGUCAGAGGUGGAAGUACAGUAAUGUAUGGAGCUGACUGAUACUAAUCGGUCGAGGGCAUGACCG
rnacentral:rRNA from 1 species